UUUAAUUAAACAUUUCUAUUCCAAUUAAUUUCCUAAAAAAAGAAAUCAAUUUUCUGAAUUUUGGCCUAAUAUUGUGGAAUUACAAAAAUGCCCUUUUGACCCAUUGAAAGCAAGUCAACCCUUCUUUUCUUCUCUUCUUCUCUGCCGUGCAAACUUGAGCACCUGACAUCGUUGGUUUUUGCCAUAUAUUGCAUCUAUGGAUCUUAGCUUUGCUGAAUCACCCCCUAGAAACCAGUAUAUUACAAUAGUCAUUGCCUACUUUUCCUACUCCCUUACAUCUGUCAUUUGUAUCCUUGCAACUUAGCACUUUCUUCACGUCAAUUUCCACCAUUCACCUCUAGAAAUAGAUGUUGAAUAUUAUCAUUGAAUUUUAGAAUUUAACAGCUAUCGACUUCUUAUUUACCAUUGAAUUUCCAGAUUAAACAUGUAGAGUUUCUUACCAUUUCAAUUCUCUUUAAAUAACCCACAAAUCGCAGCCAUUUGAACCAAUCUCUUCGUCUCUUUUCCGGCAUAAUGCCGCCUGCAAACCACCGUCUGCCACCACCAUUAUCACCACCACUGCCGCCACCUCAACCAUCCCAACACCACUCGGCACCACUCUCAAACUCCCCUCUUUUCUCUUUUUGUUCGCACACUCAUCCCCUCCCCUGCCUUUACUCACCUCCGCGCCCAGCCAUCAGCACCACCAUGUAGCCGUAGCGUUCCACCCAUCCCACGCUCCUUCUACCUCUUUGACGACCGCCAUGAACGCCGCCCAACACCCCUGCAUUCUUCCCCCUUCUCCUCGGCUUUCUCCCUCCCUGUCGUCGCUCUCCACCGCGCCCAACCACCAGCACCGCCGGGGUUGGUGCGCUGCCUCUGCCGCACCGCUUGGCCGCACUCCAUCCUCCGGUGGCGAACCACCGCCCAGCUGCCGCUUGCUUUCCUUCUUCCUAUCUCCUCCUCCGUACCAUGCUCUCCUUUUCUCUGUUUCUCGUUCAUAAUUCCCAGGAACAAAAUCCCCACUUGUUACUUUGCUUCUUUUAAUUCCUUAGCCCACUAAAAGCAAGCCCAAUUCUAUUUGUAAGUAAGCCCAAUUCUAUUUGUGAGUUGCACCUUUCAUUCAAAUUCAGAUUUUUGCAAUUGUUAUUUUAUGAUAAUAAUCGUGUUUUAUAAAAGUAAAUAAAUAAAUAAUUUUUAAGUAUAUUAAUAUUUGCUCCUAUCAUAUUACGAAUAUUAAAAACUAUUUAUCAAUUUUGGAAAAAAAUGUAUUAUUGAGUUUGUUUUUAAAUAAGUUACUAGCUUGAUUUAAAAUAGAAUUUAAUAAUAUUUCAAGCAAAUCGAUUUGAGAAUAAAAGAUUAUUUAGAAAAUAUUGAUUUUUAAAGUAUUUAUCAUUUUAAUUUUAAUUCAACAAUUUAAUCUUUUGAAAGAAAUCGGACUCGGAGUUCAGGAAGAACGAACCAACGAAAAGGCUUAGCAAAUCGCGGAAUUGAGGUACUACUGGGGAACACGAAAACGAGUAGUGACAAGGAUUUCACUAUAGAAAUGUUCACCUCAGUUAAUGUUAAGUUGUAACAAGUUUAAGUAUGACUCUUGAUUAAGCUAUGUACUCGGAUUAAGGAAUUAAUAAGAUUAUUAUAUUAUUUGGA